rnacentral:lncRNA from 1 species
UUGGAAUGGCGUUGGCUCCCGGGCACACUAGGGGGCGCCAGCGGGCUUGUUUUCCAGGAUGGCCCUAAAAUUCUCUCCAGCGAGGAGAGGACCAUGACGGCCAGGCCACGCUUGCUCUGAAAAGCGCCGAGCGUGGAAGGGUGUCUUGGAAUGGGGUCUAAAAGGGAGAACGACAUCCUUAUGACUUGCUUUAGGCUGCUUUCUGGAUGUAUUUUCAGAGCUGGGGAUGAGGAGAGGUUGCGUAAAGGUGCCGGCCUGCUGCUGGCCGGGGCUGGCAGCCUUUCAGCCGCCGCGGAUAAAGUUUGAACUUUUGCCGGGAGUGUCCCUCCAAAACGAUCAUCAAUCAGACAGAAUAGCUGCAAAUACCAACUCACAGACCAGGUUGGGAAUUAGGUGAUAGGGUCUUGCUAUGUUGCCUCGGCUGGAAUGCAGUGGCUGUUCAUAGACAUUAUCACAGCACACUACAGUCUCAAACUCCUGGACUCAAGCAAUCCUCCUGCCUCAGCCUCCUGAGUAGCUAGGACUACUGGGAUGCACUACUGCUCUUGGCAAAUUAAGGAUUUUGAGAUGGAGAGACUAUCCUGGAUUAUCUGAUGGGCUUAAUCAUUGACAAAGGUUCUUAUAUAAGGAAAAGUCAAUGUGAUAAUGGAAGCAGAUUUGAAGAUGCUGUGCAACUGGCUUUGAAGAUGGAGGACGGGGCCACAAGCCAAGGAUUGUUGGCAGCCUCUAAGCUGGAAGAGGUAAGAAGCAUAUUCUCCUGUGGCACCUCCGGGAGAAAUGCAGUACUGCCUAUACCUUGACUUUAGCCAAGUGAAACUAAUUUUAGACUUCUCACCUCCAGAACUGUAAGAUAAUAAAUUUGUGUUGAUUUAAGACACUAUGUUUGUGGUAAUUGGUUACAGCAAU